CAGAGCCUACGGGAGGCAGCAGUGAGGAAUAUUGGUCAAUGGGCGCGAGCCUGAACCAGCCAAGUCGCGUGAGGGAAGACGGUCCUAUGGAUUGUAAACCUCUUUUGUCGGGGAGCAAAAGACGCCACGCGCGGCGUUCCGAGAGUACCCGAAGAAAAAGCAUCGGCUAAUUCCGUGCCAGCAGCCGCGGUAAUACGGAGGAUGCGAGCGUUAUCCGGAUUUAUUGGGUUUAAAGGGUGCGCAGGCGGAAGAUCAAGUCAGCGGUAAAAUUGAGAGGCUCCACCUCUUCGAG
rnacentral:rRNA from 1 species